GACGAACGCUGGCGGCGUGCUUAACACAUGCAAGUCGAACGAUGAACCCGGAGCUUGCUCCGGUGGAUUAGUGGCGAACGGGUGAGUAACACGUGAGUAACCUGCCCUUGACUCUGGGAUAACUGCGGGAAACUGUAGCUAAUACCGGAUACGACCCUCGGCGGCAUCGCCAGGGGGUGGAAAGAAUUUCGGUCAAGGAUGGACUCGCGGCCUAUCAGCUAGUUGGUGAGGUAACGGCUCACCAAGGCGACGACGGGGAGCCGGCCUGAGAGGGUGACCGGCCACACUGGGACUGGGACACGGCCCAGACUCCGACGGGAGGCAGCAGUGGGGAAUAUUGCACAAUGGGCGCAAGCCUGAUGCAGCGACGCCGCGUGAGGGAUGACGGCCUUCGGGUUGUAAACCUCUUUCAGCACAGACGAAGCGCAAGUGACGGUAUGUGCAGAAGAAGGACCGGCCAACUACGUGCCAGCCGCCGCCGUAA
rnacentral:rRNA from 1 species